CGUGCAUGAGCGUCAGUGCAGGCCCAGGGGAUUGCCUUCGCCAUCGGUGUUCCUCCGCAUAUCUACGCAUUUCACUGCUACACGCGGAAUUCCAUCCCCCUCUGCCGCACUCUAGCCUUGCAGUCACAAUGGCAGUUCCCAGGUUGAGCCCGGGGAUUUCACCACUGUCUUACAAAACCGCCUGCGCACGCUUUACGCCCAGUAAUUCCGAUUAACGCUUGCACCCUACGUAUUACCGCGGCUGCUGGCACGUAGUUAGCCGGUGCUUAUUCUUACGGUACCGUCAUGACCCGGGGAUAUUAGCCCCAGGCUUUUCGUUCCGUACAAAAGCAGUUUACAACCCGAGGGCCUUCAUCCUGCACGCGGCAUUGCUGGAUCAGGCUUUCGCCCAUUGUCCAAAAUUCCCCACUGCUGCCUCCCGUAGGAGUCUGGGCCGUGUCUCAGUCCCAGUGUGGCUGGUCGUCCUCUCAGACCAGCUACAGAUCGCAGGCUUGGUAAGCCUUUACCCCACCAACUACCUAAUCUGCCAUCAGCCGCUCUAGUAGCACAAGGCCCGAAGGUCCCCUGCUUUCAUCCGUAGAUCUCAUGCGGUAUUAGCUACUCUUUCGAGUAGUUAUCCCCCACUACUAGGCACGUUCCGAUGUAUUACUCACCCGUUCGCCACUCGUCAGCAUCCGAAGACCUGUUACCGUUCGACUUGCAUGUGUAAAGCAUGCCGCCAGCGUUCAAU
rnacentral:rRNA from 1 species